ensembl:lncRNA
AGGGUAACUAGGCUUGGCGGUGUGGAGAGCGAAAGACAGGAGAAGAGCAAGGGAAUGGGAGUAGGAGAAGGGAGUCGUCAUGAGCAAGAGGAAGAAAGAGGGUUGCAGAGACAUUCGGCAAUGUUUUGCCUCAUCUCAGAAAAAAAGCAAAUGCUCUCUGGAUCUCCACUUCCAGCCUGCCUGCUUCACUCUCCAGCCUGGAGCUCCCCCACUCACCGCCAGCCCAUGCUUCAUCCCUAAUCAACUUCUUUUGUUAGGGUAAAGGCUACAGCAAUCCAGGGGGCUUCGACGUGUUGUGUCGAGCCAGAGCAGGCUUGAUGCGUUUGGGGACCUUCCCUUUACCCCAUAGGGCACCGAGCAGCACCUCUAACCGGCUGACCGUGGUCGACGUUUUGGGUUUGGGUCCCAGGCAGAGGGUGGGAGUCAUCGAGCUCAAGGUUCUUCAGCUCCUGGACAACAAGGUGGCGGAUUUCCAAGGAGGUUCGAUGGAGCUGAAGUGCUUUGAGGUGGGAGUCAUCGAGCUCAAGGUUCUUCAGCUCCUGGACAACAAGGUGGCGGAGAUCCAAGGAGCAUCGAUGGAGCUGAAGUGCUUUGAGGUUUGCGACGCAACCGGACAGACGGCGUUGAGUGUGUGGGAUCGGCUGAUCUCCACGGUCCAGCUCGGACAAUGCUACACCUUCUGGUCGUUGACGACCAGGAAGGAUGGGAGCCGCACCGUUUUGACCACUACACCGUCCACAUUGGUCACCGCCACCACGGUUGUAGGGCAGCCUUCUUCCCUCAGACUGGUGACUGUCACGGCCGAGGAGAUUCUGUGCGGGCCGGCGACCGGGGGUCAAGAUAGUCGCAAAGCCCAGGUGUCCAAGAUGCCACGCCGGACAGGACCAGUUGGCCAUCAAAUGUUCGACUCACCGCUGUGAGCGCUGCUCCAUGCUGCAGCGCACACCGGCUUAUCUGGUGACAUACUCCGGGGUGCUUAUUGUGGCACCCAGAGAUGUCAAUGAGCGCUCCAUGGCUUUAACAAACUCGGUGAUGGGGUUCGUCAGGGAGUUUUGUGUUGCGUGCAACGCCCAUGAUGGCCCAGCCCUGGAGGAAACCAUCAUGGCGUUGCCAGAGCUGGUUGUUUCUGUAAAUGCAGAAGGACUGGUGGUGCGCUUUGCUCCGGCCGUUGUUGUAAGCGAGGCUAUGGCCGAAUGCUCCCAGGGCGACAUUCCGGACGCAUAGGAGGCUUCGACGUCGUAUGCAAGGCACUCUGCGGGUUCGGGACAUAAAGAGGAUGUUGAAUAUCGGGUAGAUCUUCUGGAGGACUGAGAUUUUGUUGUGCUGUCGUUUGAUGGUGGUGUUUACUUUUGAUAUUGAACAAUAAACUUUAUGUUUUGAUUUAA